UUCCAAUAUUUGGCUGAUUUGGAUUCCUAAGAUAAAGGAGGUAUUUGGAUUCCGGAUGGCUUGGGAAUCAGAAUGCUAAUUUUUCUUCCUUUAUGCCCUCACUUACUUUCAUUAUUUCCAAGAUUAUCCUUUUAACCAUAGAGUUAUUUUUCUUUUCACCCAACUCAUUUCUCUCUCAGCCGCAGAACUCUCUCUUCUCUCAACCACAGCUCUCGUCACAAUUACGGAUAGGUAAAUUCCUACUUCUUCUGCGUUUUUAUCUUUGUGAUCAUAGUGCUCGAUGAAUAUCAGCGUUUCGUUGCUCGUUUCUUUCUUCUCCAUGAUGAAUUUUCUUUCCAGGAAUUCGUUCAAUUUUUUCCCCGAUUUUCUUCUCUUUUUUUUUGGUGUGCGAAAAACUUGGACUUUGGACGAGAAAAGCGAAAAAAAAAAGAAUUGAAAUUAAUGAUAAUGUUGUCUGUGCAUGUUCUCGGACGCCUGAGUUGACUUCACUUGUUAGAGAGAGAGAGAGAGAGAGAGAGAGAUUUUCAGUAAAAGUUGGAAACUUUGUUGUUGGUUUUUGGAUUUGUGAAUUGGGUCUGAUUUGUUUUGAUGUUUUUUGUUUUGUAUCUUGUAUUGGGGGGAGUGAUUGGUUGCUGAGAAAAUGUGGGAAAAUGGUGGAUUGAAGUAGAUUGACAUCUGUUGUUCUGUUGCAUAUUCUACAUUUAUGUAAUUUACUUGAGUUAUUUGGUUGUUGGGAACUUAUGGAGCUGAAUGUUGAUUUACAAAUAUUUAUUUUACAGAAUGGAUCUUCUUUUUUUUCAUAGUUAGGUGCAUAAAGAAUCAAAGAUGCAAAAUUUUCUUUUUAUUUGCCGUUUGGAUUUGUUUGACCGUACGCUUAGAUCAGGGACAUCUGGGAUUUGUGUGUUUGAUGAUCUUCUGAAUUGGGUUAUGCAAUUUAUUUAUCCUAUUGGGUUUAGAAAGCUAGGUAUUUGAAGAGCAUAUGAUGCAAGGGUAAAUUCUAGUUGUAUGUCUUAACUUGAAGAAAUUAAUCUGUUAAAUUUAGGCAUAUGUUGAACAAAUUGCAAGUAUUUUAGUUUCUUUUGAUGGGUUGGUGGGAGUUUGCAACGGGGCCUUCCACCAGGGAAGUAAAGGGUUGAGAGAUUGGAUAACUUCCAUGCCUUUCUGGAGGUAUAGUUGUUACUUUUUGGGAUAUAUACAUAUGCAUAUAUGUGUGUGCACGUAAAAAAUUAAUUGCAAAAUUUACCUCUUCCAGACCUUGCGUAAAGCGGGAGCCUUGUGCACUGGGUAUGACUCUUUUUUUUUCUUCAUAUCAGCGGACAUUGAAGUUUCGUUUUUACUGUUGUGCUAGAGGUACAUGGUGGUUAAUAAGCACCAUUCCUUGCAUAGUUGCAUUUUAUAUGGCGAACUCGUUUUUACCAUACAUAACUUGAUCUGGGAGGCAUUUCUCAGUGCUUUAUGGAAAAGGAAAGAGGAUUAUUGUGUUUUAUGUGAAGGGUCUAGUUUCCUAAUCAAUAUAACAUUCCUGGGAAGUGUUUUUGAGAUCAUCUGAUACAAGAUUAUCAUUGUUUGGUAUGAUUUGACUUGUUAAGAAAAAAAUUGAUAUGCAGGAUUAUGUACCUGUGAUCUUUGAAAUGUUGUAUUGUUUAGGAAGAGUACUUUAUCCCCAAUUCUUUAUGCUCACAAAUGUUUAUUAAUCAAAUAUUCAUCAUCUUUAUGACAUUAGGAAGAGUGAGGACAAGGUUGUGGGUUGAGCUCUCUUCAGUGGUUGCAGACUAAUGGCUCGUCUAAGUUUGUCCACAAAGAAGAAAUUACAUGCUAUGUUGAAUGUGUUGAUUGUCUAUCUUCGAACUAUAUUUGUUGCAUGUGCUACUUCUUGUUUCUAUUCUUGGUAUCGUUUCCAAAAACGCCUUAGAAGUCCCUCACCUUGUUAAACAGUUAUAAGAGUUUACAAGCAAUUAGAAUACUUACAUGGUUUAAUUUAUGAGAGUGAUGUGACAUGUAUUGCUGAACUACGAAUGGAUAGACGAUCCUUUCAUAGAUUAUGUCAAGUUCUUGUGACUAGAGGACAUCUACGAGCUACUCGAAAUAUGUCUAUAUAGGAGAUGGUUGCAUUUUUUCUAUACAUUCUUGCACACCAUCUUAAGAAUCGCACAAUUAACCACCACUUUAGAAAGUCUGGUCGAACAAUUAGUAAGUAUUUUCAUGAGUGUAUUAAAGUAAUGAUUCGAUGCCAAAAGGAUUUUUGGCAAACACCUGAGCCUAUCCUUGAGAACUCAACCGACACGAAAAGGAAAUGGUUUAAGGUAUGUAGUAUCUACAUGCCUACACUACUCAGUAAUUACUAGCUUUUUAUUUCAUAGUUUAGUUUGUUAAUUUAAUGUCCUAUAUACUGUAGAAUUGCUUAGGUGCACUAGAUGGAACACCUGUUAAGGUGCAUGUACCAGAAUGUGAUAAACCAAAGUACAGAACAAGGAAAAAUGAAAUAGCAGUGAAGGUUUUGGAAGUCUGCACUCCGGACAUGCAGUUUAUAUAUGUUUUACCUGGAUGGGAAGGGUCCGCACAUGAUGGUCGAGUUCUUAGAGAUGUUGUGACUAGGAGAAAUUGAUUGAAAGUCCCUAAUGGUUGUUACUAUUUAGUUGAUGGUGGCUACACAAACGGAAAAGGUUUUCUUGCACCUUAUAGACGAACCCGUUAUCAUCUGAAUGAGUGGAGAUGAUGAAUGCUAGUUUUUUGCUAUGACGUGCUUGCUGCCAUGAUGAUAUAUCAGGGGAAAUUGUGAAUGUUUUGUAAAUCUAAUGACUGAUUAGAUGGCACCAUGAUGGUGAAGAACUACUUUUUGUUGAUAUUAUGAUGUUUAGGCAGGUUAGGAAUAUUUUGUUGACAAUCUGAUGUGUAGGCAAGUUAUGAAUAUUUUGUUGAUAAUAUGAUGCCUAGGCAGGGUAUGACUAGUUUGCUUAGGUUGGUUAUGAUGGUUGGAUAUAUGUACUUUGAUGUAAAAUAUUAACUUUAAUGAAGUUAUUUCCUUCU